UACGUAGGGGGCAAGCGUUGUCCGGAUUUAUUGGGCGUAAAGCGCUCGCAGGUGGUUCGUUGCGUCGUGCGUGAAAGGCCCCGGCUCAACUGGGGAGGGUCGUGCGAUACGGGCGGACUGGAGGCCAGUAGGGGGAUGCGGAAUUCCGGGUGUAGUGGUGGAAUGCGUAGAGAUCCGGAGGAACACCAGCGGCGAAGGCGGCAUCCUGGACUGGUCCUGACACUCAGGAGCGAAAGCGUGGGGAGCGAUCCGG
rnacentral:rRNA from 1 species